AUUUUAAAAUAAAGAGUGUUCACACGCUCACUGGCUGUGUAGUGUGCAAGCGUCUGAAUAUAGCUUGGUGUCAUUUUCUAAUAAAAUGAGAGAGAAUGUGGUGCUGGCUGAACCUUGGGCUCAAAAGAAUUCAGACAUAGCAGUUUUUCCAUCCCUACAGCAUGCAGUGUGUAAUCUCUGAAAAAAAAAUUCACUCCAGGCAAACUGAGUUGCCCAAGGUAUAAAGAAAUUUAUUAUUAUGUAGCCAUUUUAGGUUUCUUCUAGAUGUGUGCAGAGCACAAUACAUAAGUGAAUGGAUGUUGUUAAAUAUGUCUAUCAGAAAUGUCCAUCAUUAAUUCUUUUAUUAUAUAUUUAUUGAUUGCACAAUGUGACUUUUUCUGUUGAUCUCGAGGUAAAUAAAAUAUGGUUCCUUUCCCAAGUACUUCUCAAUCUAUUGAGGAGGCAGUGAGGAAAAGGACACAGCGAUGUAACAAAUGAUGUGUUAAAGACAAACGCUGGGAAAUAAUUCUUCUGGAUCAGAAGAAAUUUUCUUAAGUGGUCAAAUCUUCAGCCCACAUGAGCCACUUGCCCGGGCCUUGGCCUCUGCCAUUACAGCUCAGCCCUCACUGGAGUCUGUCCAGCAAGAACCUAGAAACCUGCUAGUAAGAAGAGGUAUUCCUUCCUUAGCAGUCACGGAGGAGGAAGAUGACAAAUAUUAAGACAGCCCACUCUUUUUUCACCACAUUAUGCAUCGAAUAUCUAUUGCAUAGCAAUUCCAAUAAAUGAAUGACAUCAAGAUGA